rnacentral:rRNA from 1 species
UACGUAGGCAGCGAGCGUUGUUCGGAAUUACUGGGCGUAAAGAGUGUGUAGGCGGUGUUCCCAGUCUGCUGUGAAAUCUCCCGGCUUAACUGGGAGGGUGCAGCGGAAACUAGAAUGCUAGAGGGUGGGAGAGGUAAGCGGAAUUCCUGGUGUAGCGGUGAAAUGCGUAGAUAUCAGGAGGAACACCUGUGGUGUAGACAGCUUACUGGACCACUUCUGACGCUGAGACACGAAAGCGUGGGUAGCAAACAGG